rnacentral:rRNA from 1 species
AUUGAACGCUGGCGGCAGGCCUAACACAUGCAAGUCGAGCGGAUGAAGGGAGCUUGCUCCUGGAUUCAGCGGCGGACGGGUGAGUAAUGCCUAGGAAUCUGCCUGGUAGUGGGGGAUAGCGUCCGGAAACGGGCGCUAAUACCGCAUACGCCCUGAGGGAGAAGGUGGGGGAUCUUCGGACCUCACGCUAUCAGAUGAGCCUAGGUCGGAUUAGCUAGUUGGUGGGGUAAAGGCCUACCAAGGCGACGAUCCGUAACUGGUCUGAGAGGAUGAUCAGUCACACUGGAACUGAGACACGGUCCAGACUCCUACGGGAGGCAGCAGUGGGGAAUUUUGGACAAUGGGCGAAAGCCUGAUCCAGCCAUGCCGCGUGUGUGAAGAAGGUCUUCGGAUUGUAAAGCACUUUAAGUUGGGAGGAAGGGCAGUAAGUUAAUACCUUGCUGUUUUGACGUUACCAACAGAAUAAGCACCGGCUAACUUCGUG